rnacentral:lncRNA from 1 species
UUCUGCGAAGAUGGCAGAGCGAGAAGAGUGGCGAAAUGUAAAGUACUGCAUAAUCGCGAAGAAAGGUGAGAAAAUUCGCGAGGAAGAGGGAUCGCAAAAUCAGCAGCAAGACGCAGAGAAAGAGAAGGAUUGCGAAAGGACAGCCGAAGCGGCGGAUUCGUGAACAUCAAACGAAUUAAAUCUCCGCGGCGAGUCGACCGCAGAAACUAAUAUCUCGGCGAGCUCUCUCGUUUCUUCCGUUCCUCGUCACUUCUACGUAGCCGUUUCAGCCUCCGCUUCUCUUUCCUCGACCACCGCGCCGCCCGCCAUCGUAUUUCUGGAUUCCGCUUCGAAAGAGAUUCGUGCUAGAGAGACAAAGUGGACGAUGACAAAAUUAUCGUCCACUUUUCCCGGUUGAAACGCGUUUCUCAAAAAGAAAACCGGGUCUGUAACGUUUCGUUCGAACGAUGAGAGCAAAAUGGAAAAGAGGAUUGAGCAAAUGGGAAACGACAAGCACGACACAAGAAGCGAGCUCAUAAACCGAGGCAAAACGUUCACCUCUCACGAUGGGAUACAGGACUAUUUUUGCGGCAGUUUCACCUUAAACGCCCAUCAAAUGAUAAAGUAGCGACGAUACGAUGGUAAUUAUCGAGGUAAACGAGCUGGUACGAGCGUAAUUAGUUCCAACGCUUGUAGCGAGGUGGCGUGUUAGACGCGUACAAUUAGACAAUUGCUUGGUUUGGUUAUCGAGAACAGUGUUCUCCAAGGAAGAGAAAAAAAGGUUAUAAAGAAGAUUGUAGAUAAGAAAAACGGGCUCGAUCAUCGAAGGUAUUAAAACGGUGAAUCUGUAUAGUAUCUGUAUAGUUUACGGCAAUGUAAUAACACUUUCGGUAACCGCUAAACAGUCUGCUAUCCGCGAUAAUUAAGUCGUUUCCGGGCAUGGUUUAGAAAAGUGGUUGAACGUGUCUAUUUCACUUGAAGGAAAAACAAGCGUCGAUUCAACCAAAAAAAUCCGAACGAGGUGUAAGUUUGCGCGUAAAUCCGCCAUCUCCUUCUGUACUUGAGAGAAACCGUUACGAAAGUGGGUAAUAGGCGUUGUAAUAGAUAUUAUCUUGCUUGAUAGGUGUCGAUAUCGUGGCGGCGAAAGAUCGAAAUCAUGGUGUCUUCUUCGAGAUCGUCAACAUAUUUCCGGGUUCUUAAGUGGAAUCGAACCCCGGUAAUUUGAAUCUUAAAGGAACAAUCUGAAUAUUUUAUGGAGAUUUUGUUUUAUCCAUCAUUAUCCACUUGGAUGUUUUCAAGUAAUGAAUUUUGUUUCCAAAUGUAAAAAAAGUUGAAAGAAAAGAGAGAGUAUUGAAUGAUCAAUUAUUGAUAGAUAUUAGUUCGAAUUAUAAUGUGUCAAAGUGAUGGAAGUUUAAUCUAUAGAGGUUAAUUUCAUCUUGAAGAGGUUAGAUUGAAUAGCGAGAUAAAAUAACGCAUCUAAACAUGUAGCAAAUAAUUCGAGUUAAUAUAAAUUUAUUUCAUUUCAAUUUUAAAGAAGUUUUCGCAAUAGAACAGAAAUACAAUAAAUAAAAUUAAUC